GUUAUAUAUUUAUUUUACGAUUAACUUACCUGUUGUUGAGCCGAGACAUCCACCAAAAGGGCCACCAAUAGCAACGCAAAUAAGAGGAGCUCCACUUUCGUCCGCAUUGCGAUCUCUGCGACGAACAAUCGAUCGAGUUUAAUAACGAGCACAACGAUCGAAUAGCUGGCUUCUGCUAUUUUCGUGUUGUCGUUUUAUAAACUUGGACCGUGAUGGGAGAAUUAUUGUUCCAAUACUCGUGCAUACAAUCAGAUCUCUCAAUUGAAGAUCGUUCGUCUAGAAUGUACGAUGGCUUAAUUUCGAAAAUUCCCAAUAAUAAUAACGCGCACGAACGGCCAAUCCAGCUUGGGUCAACGUAACCAACGAUAAAUCUCUGAGACCUUAAUAGGAGCAACGAAGCGAUAACCCAGAUACUUGGAAAUCACGAUUCUUUACGAAUGUUCGUAACAAACUUGAACGCGUAUUGCACGCAAUACAGUUCCUUCGUUUCUCUAACGCCUGUAAAUAUGCCUCGCUGCAAAUAGGAACGAUAAAAACCUAUUUAACUUAUUGUCUCUUCCUUUGAAUUGAUGACGAGAAACGAAGGUCGACGUUGAACUCAUCGGCUAAGUAUGAACGCCCACUUAUGUUUAUGAAAUUUCUUCAUUUGCGUCUCAAUUCUCUUCCUUCCAGUUUUAAAACGGCUUAAUUAUAUCUUUUAAUUAAUCGAGUUCUUGAAUUUUUAAAGAGAGUUAUGAGUUUAAUCCAAUUGAAUCAAAAUGUUGAAUCAUCUUUGAGAAAGGAAUAUAAUAAAACAAAGUGGUUAAAUAUCUGUAAAAUAUAAUCCUUGUACAAUGAUUUGUAGCAAAUUAAAACACAUUUUUCUAGCUUCCUACUGGUUUAAAUAUAGCUCGGUCAGUUUAUGCGUAAGGUUCAUUCAGUUUGAUUAUAUUUGCAGCAUAGAAUUUCCGUUACGCGUCAGCUUUUUCUUUGAAUCCAUUAUUUCUUUUUAUCGUAAACCUAGAUUUUAUCAAUUACACAUUGUAUUAAAAUAAAAAAUAUGCGAAUUUAUUACCUACGUAUGCUAACUAAACAAUUAUUUGAGUUUAAGAAAGAAUCUCCUGGCUAAAUGGACAGAUUUAAUUCAUAUUUAUUCUUAUUUUUUCAAACAUAGUCAAAUUAUUACUCGUAUCAUUACCAAAAUCUGUAUCACGAAAUUCUUUUAAAGAUGUUAAGUGCAAAUAUGAUAGAAAAAAAAAAUAAGUAGUUAAUAUAAAGUUACCUUCUUCCUCUAAAUGAAACAAAACUUCUUCUAAACAGUUCUGCGUAUACGCAUACACGGUGGACGUUAAUUCCUCGAAGAAACAUAUUCAUUAUUUGCCUUUUCUACGAAACGACAUUAAUCCUAGAGCACAACUAUGCCUCGCAGACUAUAAAAGAAAUAUAACUUACACAAAAUAAAAAAGGAAAAAAUCUCUACAACUUUAUCCCAAUUUCGAUCGUAUCGUGUAGCUGCAAAUAAUGCUGCGAUCUUCUUAGAGCGACAAUGAAGGAAGAGAAUGAUGUUCACAAGAAGAUUUUUUUGAUAUGUGUUUACGAACGACCUUUGAUAAAACGAGAGUUCGCAAGUGUGUCGCAACAACAAGAACCAGCAAUACAACGAAGAAUUUAUGAAGAGGCGAGUGCAGAAAUCGCGAACAGCCCUGUUUUUAUCUCUUCUUUGAUCAGCGCCCACGAAAUUAUAAAGAGGAUGUUUGAUUUCCGUUCUGAAAGGAACAAUUUCCGAGGAGUUUGCGACAAGAUAAAAUUGUGACAAACGCCCACUAAUAAAGCGUAUAUAUUCCAAGACAAAGUAUAAUUCCCGCUUGUGUUAUAGACACAUUAAAGUGCUCCUAUUUAUUUAAUUAGAGAAACAGAUUCAAAGCAACUUCCUUCCCUCGAUGAUUUUAAUUAGAUAUUUAUUAAUGUCUUCCGUGUAAAGAAAUUAACAGUACUGUUUUAAUAAAAUUUUUAUAUUUCCUUUUUGUAUUUUGUAGAAUUAAAUUUAUAAUUUUGAACAUUUAUUUGAAUAACUUAACUUUAUCUUAAGUGUACAUUCCAAAAAUAGGAUGUAAAAUAUUUUGACCUCUUUAGCGUUAUCUAACAAUAACAAAAUUAAGAAAUUAAAUCGAUAAUUUAAAAUAGAUUUGAAUAUAUAUAUAUAUGAAAUUAUUUUAAGAUAAAUAAUAAUUCUUAAAUAAUUCAUUGUUAAUAAUUUAUUAUUUUAUAAAACUAAUGAAGAGUAAUCAAAAUUAAAAUUAUUCGAAAAUUAGUUAUGCAAAAAUGUUUUAAAUAUCGAACAGAAAUCUGUUACUUGUGUAAAAAAUUAGAACAUUCAAGUAAUUCUUGUGUACACUUAAUAUAAAUAUAUUCAUUCACUCUUGCGAUAACUUUCAAUCUAUCAAAUUAAUUUCUUGAAACAAUCUAAUCAAUAUAUAUCGUAAAAAAAAAUUCCAAAGUCUUUUAUAUACUUCUAAUAAAAAUAUCCUUGACAACAUCAAACCUAAUGAAUUUUUAUCACAAAUUACCAACUUUUAAUAAGUGAAUAUUUCAUAAUAAAUAAAAUAAUAAUUAAAACGAUGUAACGAAAACUAAAUAUACGCAAUUUACCCAAAAA